rnacentral:tRNA from 1 species
GAUUCGGUAGCUUGGUUGGUAAAGCACUUAGCUAGUGUACUUAGGUCGUGAGUUCAAAUCUCACCUGAGUCU